AUACUGCGGGAGCUGAAUGUAGAAGCAUUCUUCGUUCCUUGCCUCCAUACUUUACUUGCUCCUUCUGCAUUCUCAGAUAUAUAGGUUAUGCUUAUGGAAUCUUUCUGGAGACUUCUGGUUCGAAACGCAAAGAGAAGAGACGGUGGAUGCAAAGUCAUUGUCUUCUCUAUUUUUUGUGGAAUUGAGAGCAUCUGAUGUAGGAUAGCAACAAAAAUGAAAACUAUAAAUGAAAAAAGCAAACUAAAAAUGAACUUCCCGAUUUGUAUUCCUUAUAAAAAGAGGGAUUUGUUAAUUGUGGUACGAAGAUUACUCCUUCAAAAUAAUUAGAUAUUGUAGAAGCUAAUAAUUUUGGAAAUUGGGCUAGACCCUGAUCAUUAAUCCAAGUUUU